UUCAAAAGUUUCCUUAAAAAACACCCUUCUGUUGUUUUUAAUAAAACAAAUCUGUUAACCUUUAAGUAUACAAAUCUCUUUUAUUUAUAAAUAGUUUUUGAGUUUUUAGAAAUUACUAUGCAACUUUGCUGAAGGUAAAUAUCGUUCUUAUUAAUGCUUUUUGUAAUUAUUUUGUUGCCUUUAAGAGAAUAUUAUUUUCUUAUAACUUUUUAAGAUGGAUAAAGAAAAUAUUAAUGAAAAUAAACCUGGACGUCCAAAAAAGAAACCAAGAUUACGCAAAAAUUGUGGUCGGAAACGAGCUACUGUUGAAAAUGCAUCAGUAAGUACAAAAUAUAGACGGGCCUACGAGUUAAUUACAUUAGCUGAAAAUAAUUCAGAAGUUUUGGAAUUGGCACUAAGAUUAAAUGCAAAAAAUGAAACUCACGAAAUAAAAAUUGACAAGGAAAUCGAAAAGGACAAUGUUAACAGGAUUAUACGGCAUUCUAGUGAAACUGCUUUAGAUUUUUAUUUAGAAAAUAAUUUUAGUAAGAAUACUUACAAUGCUCUAGUAACUGACUGUUUAAGUAAAAAUGCCAAUUUGUAUCCUUGCUAUAAUAUUCUACAUAAAUCGAUGGUUGAAUGUCAAUUAGAAAAUGGUCAAUACAAUGUUUCUGAAAUCGAAGUUUCUGUUCCUUUACAAGAAAUUCUAAAUAAGACUGUUGUAAGAUUAUGCGAUGCUGUUGCAGUGAAUUGGGAUGAUCAUUGUUUGCGAGAUUUACAACUAAUUGCUACUUUAGGAUUCGAUAGUUCUUCUGGGCAUCUUAAUCCUCACCAACAGUACGAUGAUCCUAGUAACGAGAACUUUAACUCUUAACAAUCUUUAUUUAUCAGCAGCUUAAUUGUUAUACAGUUCAAAAGUCAAUCUUCUGAAUACUCAUGGUUAAAUCCUACCCCGCAAAGUAUUAGAUUUUGUCGUCCAUUGCGUGUUGCAGUUGAAAAAGAAGACGAAACAAAUACAAUAAAAGAAUAUAGUAGAUUGAGCAAAGAAAUUGAUACAUUAAAACCUCAUACAUUUAAAAACCGAAAUGGAAGUCGAGUUAAAGUUACUUUUCACGUUACUAAAACUUUAUUUGAUGGCAAGUGUGUUAAUACUAUAACUGGAAAUAAGGCUACAUGCAGAUGUCCCAUGUGUAAUCGAACAGCACAUAGUUUCGGAAACUUAAAGGAUGACUUCGCUCCAAUUACUCCCUUCUUACAAUUAGGCCUAGGACUUUUGCACUGUGAGAUUAAAAGCUUUGAGCAUCUUUUACACCUUGCUUACAGAAACAAAGAAGAAAUAAGACAAUGGGAUAUGAAAGUACAUUUGAAAGAGCAAUUCAACGAGCAGAAAAAAAUAAUUCAAAAAAGACUAUUUGAUGACUUUGGGAUAAAAGCUGAUUUGUUAAAUGUAGCGAAGAAAUUGAAGAUAUAAUCGAAAGUGACGAGAAUUCAGAACGUGAUGGAUACUCGUCAGAGGACUGAAAAAGGAGAAGACAAGGCCUUAAAAUUCUCUUAUGAUAAUUUGUACUAACGCAUAUGUGAUUAGGUUUCUAAGUUUAAAGUAUUCAUUGAAAGUGCAUUUAGAGUUUUAUAAAAGUUUGUAGGUUAAUUAUUUAUCUUCUGUUAACAAAUUAUA